AACGAACGCUGGCGGCAUGCCUAACACAUGCAAGUCGAACGAGACCUUCGGGUCUAGUGGCGCACGGGUGCGUAACGCGUGGGGAACCUGCCUUUAGGUUCGGAAUAACAGUGAGAAAUUACUGCUAAUACCGGAUGAUGUCUUCGGACCAAAGAUUUAUCGCCUUUAGAUGGGCCCGCGUUGGAUUAGCUAGUUGGUGGGGUAAAGGCCUACCAAGGCGACGAUCCAUAGCUGGUCUGAGAGGAUGAUCAGCCACACUGGGACUGAGACACGGUCCAGACUCCUACGGGAGGCAGCAGUGGGGAAUUUUCCGCAAUGGGCGAAAGCCUGACGGAGCAAUACCGCGUGAGGGAAGAAUGCCUAUGGGUUGUAAACCUCUUUUUCAGGGAGGAAUAAAAUGACGUGUACCUGAAGAAUAAGCAUCGGCUAACUCCGUG
rnacentral:rRNA from 1 species